AUAUAGUCAGUGAGAGCCCUGUCGUCUGGUUGUCUGUCUGUUAGAAAGUUCUUGCUUUCCCAAGAAGUUAGUCAGUCUCUGUCCUCCACCCCCAACCCCCACUCCCAACUCCUGCAAGUCCAAGGACUGCGUUGUCCUUGGAGGGGAAGGGUAUGGCAUUUACAGGGUUUGCCAGUCAGUUCCUCUCAGCCCUUGGGCUUUGGGAGAGACACUGCUUCAAGCCCAUCCCUUCUCAGUGCCCCCCCCACUUCCCCUGGGUUUCACAGAUCACAAAAUUGAGCAGGAUGGUGUGGUUUGGGGGACACCCCCUCCCACCUCACUGAGGGUGUCCACGUGCUCCUGAGAGUCAGUUUAAAAGAUCAGCUUAGAUACCCACGGUUCACCAAGCUGCCCCCUUCAUCCCCGAGCUUUCAGCAUCAGCUUCGGUGAACGUUUGCCCCGGGUCCAGCAGAAUCCUGGCUGAAGUAGAGGCAGGUCUCAGCAAAAACCCGCUUUAGAGCAGAGGCAAGAUAUUCCUAAGACGUUUUCACUGUUGGCCUGGAUGUGGGUAGGUGGUGUCUCUGGAAGUAAUGACAGGAGCCGUAACAAACUCUCAAUCUGUCUGUCUGAGAUGAAGAUGCCUUUUGAAAAUAAAAUUAAAGAUCUUUUAGAAGCAAAUCAA
rnacentral:lncRNA from 1 species